rnacentral:rRNA from 1 species
CAAGUCGAGUGCGCGCCUGUAGCAAUACAGGUGGCGCACGGCGCACGGGUGCGUAACACGUGGGUAAUCUGCCCUUCGAUGGGGAAUAACUCGCCGAAAGGCGAGCUAAUUCCGCAUAACAUUCCGAGGACUUUGGUUCUUGGAUUCAAAGGCGUAAGUCGUCGGAGGAGGAGCCCGCGCACGAUUAGCUAGUUGGUGAGGUAAUGGCUCACCAAGGCUAUGAUCGUUAGCUGGUCUGAGAGGAUGGCCAGCCACACUGGAACUGAGACACGGUCCAGACUCCUACGGGAGGCAGCAGUGGGGAAUCUUGCACAAUGGGCGAAAGCCUGAUGCAGCGACGCCGCGUGGGGGAUGAAGCUUUUCGGAGUGUAAACCCCUUUCGACCCGGACGAAUGCCUCGCAAGAGGACUGACGGUACGGGUAUAAGAAGCCCCGGCUAACUACGUGCCAGCAGCCGCGGUAAGACGUAGGGGGCCAGCGUUGCUCGGAAUUACUGGGUGUAAAGGGUUCGUAGGCGGUGUGGCAAGUCGGGAGUGAAAUCUCUGGGCUCAACCCAGAGUCUGCUUCCGAAACUGCUGUGCUUGAGUGUGGGAGAGGCGCGUGGAAUUGCAGGUGUAGCGGUGAAAUGCGUAGAUAUCUGCAGGAACACCCGUGGCGAAAGCGGCGCGCUGGACCACUACUGACGCUGAGGAACGAAAGCUAGGGGAGCAAACAGGAUUAGAUACCCUGGUAGUCCUAGCCCUAAACGAUCAGGACUUGGGGUGCCGCCCGUUCGGGCGUCGUCCCGGAGCUAACGCGUUAAGUCCUGCACCUGGGGAGUACGGUCGCAAGACUGAAACUCAAAGGAAUUGACGGGGGCCCGCACAAGCGGUGGAAC